rnacentral:rRNA from 1 species
GACAGAGGGGGCAAGCGUUGCUCGGAAUUACUGGGCGUAAAGGGCGCGUAGGCGGGAUGGCAAGUCGGUCGUGAAAUCCUUCGGCUCAACCGAAGAACGUCGAUCGAUACUGCUGUUCUUGAGGGUUGCAGAGGAGACUGGAAUUCCCGGUGUAGCGGUGAAAUGUGUAGAGAUCGGGAGGAACACCAGUGGCGAAGGCGACUACCUGGCCUGUUCUUGACGCUGAGGCGCGAAAGCUAGGGGAGCAAACGGG